CAGGAAGUAGUUUAUUUUAAAAUGCCAGCUUUGGGAGUUGGUGAUGGAGGUUUAAGCCCUUUCUUCCUGA
rnacentral:tRNA from 1 species